GAGACUAGUAUUUUUGAGUGUCAGCACGAGAUAUCUUUUACGAAGGACUGCUUGUAUAAGCUCCUUUGCAGCGAGUAUCUUCUCACCAUCAGAUCAGAAGUUAGCAGGUAUCCUUUAAUGGAGGAAACACAUGCUACUUUAAAGUGUGUGAGCCAUCAGAGGUCUGGUGUAAUAAAUUACACGUGGCCAGAAAAUGCAGGCGGGUUCCCUGAUGGCAGUAGCCUGAUCAUCACUAGAGUGACCAGGGAACAUAAUGGAAGUCGAGUGAGGUGUGAGGCGAUGUACAGUGAUGGUGAAGUUGUCUCCAGUGACUCACUGCAAUUACAGGUUUACUAUCGCCCGGUUAUCAGGAUAACACGGAGUGAUAAUCAGGGUCAGCUACUGUCCACCUUCCCUGAGGUCAUUAAGGGUCACAAUGUGACGUUUGUGUGUGACGCUGACAGCAACCCGCCUCCUGCUUCCAUCACGUGGUCAGGGAAAGUAAACAGCACUACUGGGGAGCUACACAUCAUAGCAGCACAGCAGACGACACACGACGGUGUCUACACCUGUACCG